CCUGUUGUUAUUGAGGAGCUCACGCGCAUGUCCUCUUCAUAUAUUCCACCACACUGCAGGAAUAAACUUCUGUUCCAAAGCCACCUCUGUGUCCCUCCAUCGUGCACCAGAACACAACAGUGUAGUCGGGACAUGUGGAAGCACUGGCAGCGCGGCUACACAAGGACAUGAGGCGAGGUCAAAAAAGACAAAGCCGAGCUGAGCGGAGGGCGUGGAAAGCAAUGGGGUCAAUCUAGCAAUGAGUGUGCUCUGCCGUCAUGCUUAAGAAGGCCAGCAGGUUGGAAGAGACCACGCAGAAAACCUGAUACCCAAUGGCUUGACACUAUCAAAGGGGAUCUCAAACCUGGCACAACCCCGGGGGAUUUCGAACACCUGGCCCAAGACAGCAUCCACUAAAGUCUGAUCAACCCCGUCGAACAAGAAUAGCCAUUACUUUGAAUGAUUGUAUAUACUGUAUAAUAUCUUUAGGUACUCCUGUUAUUUACAUGCUUACUGUCUCACUUGUCCUUCUGACAAUCAAAACAGGUCUACAGGUAGUUCUUAUAAUUAAGAUAGU